UACAGAGGGUGCAAGCGUUGUUCGGCCUUCCUUUUCUUCCCUCUCUUUUAUUCUUCUUUUUAAUUCCUUUGUGAAAGCCCUGGGCUCAACCCAGGAAGUGCGCAGGAUACUGUCAUGCUGGAGUAGCGGAGAGGAUGGCGGAAUUCCCGGUGUAGAGGUGAAAUUCGUAGAUAUCGGGAGGAACACCUGUGGCGAAGGCGGCCAUCUGGACGUUCACUGACGCUGAGACGCGAAAGCGUGGGUAGCAAACAGG
rnacentral:rRNA from 1 species